UACAGAGGGUGCAAGCGUUAAUCGGAAUUACUGGGCGUAAAGCGCGCGUAGGCGGUUUGUUAAGUUGGAUGUGAAAGCCCCGGGCUCAACCUGGGAACUGCAUCCAAUACUGGCAAGCUGGAGUACGGUAGAGGGUGGUGGAAUUUCCUGUGUAGCGGUGAAAUGCGUAGAUAUUGGAAGGAACACCGGUGGCGAAGGCGACCACCUGGUCUGUUACUGACGCUGAGGUGCGAAAGCGUGGGGAGCAAACAGG
rnacentral:misc_RNA from 1 species